UUGGAGGGCAAGUCUGGUGCCAGCAGCCGCGGUAAUUCCAGCUCCAAUAGCGUAUAUUAAAGUUGUUGCAGUUAAAAAGCUCGUAGUUGAAUUUCGGGAUCAGAGUGUCGGUCGUGCCUCGGUACGUACUGGUAUUAUUGGUUCCUACCUUCUGAAGAACCGCGAUGUCAUUAAUUUGGUGUCGUGGGGAAUCAGGACUGUUACUUUGAAAAAAUUAGAGUGCUUAAAGCAGGCUUACGCUUGAAUACAUUAGCAUGGAAUAAUGAAAUAGGACGUUUGAUUCUAUUUUGUUGGUUUCUAGGAUUGACGUAAUGAUUAAUAGGGAUAGUUGGGGGCAUUAGUAUUCAAUUGUCAGAGGUGAAAUUCUUGGAUUUAUUGAAGACUAACUACUGCGAAAGCAUUUGCCAAGGAUGUUUUCAUUAAUCAAGAACGAAAGUUAGGGGAUCGAAGACGAUCAGAUACCGUCGUAGUCUUAACCAUAAACUAUGCCGACUAGGGAUCGGAUGAUGUUAAUUUUUUAAUGACUCAUUCGGCGCCUUACGGGAAAC
rnacentral:rRNA from 1 species